rnacentral:rRNA from 1 species
AUUGAACGCUGGCGGCAUGCCUUACACAUGCAAGUCGAACGGCAGCACGGGAGCAAUCCUGGUGGCGAGUGGCGAACGGGUGAGUAAAGUAUCGGAACGUGCCCAGUCGUGGGGGAUACGUAGCGAAAGUUACGCUAAUACCGCAUACGAUCUAUGGAUGAAAGCGGGGGAUCGCAAGACCUCGCGCGAUUGGAGCGGCCGAUAUCAGGUUAGGUAGUUGGUGGGGUAAAGGCUCACCAAGCCGACGAUCUGUAGCUGGUCUGAGAGGACGACCAGCCACACUGGGGCUGAGACACGGCCCAGACUCCUACGGGAGGCAGCAGUGGGGAAUUUUGGACAAUGGGCGAAAGCCUGAUCCAGCCAUGCCGCGUGCAGGAUGAAGGCCUUCGGGUUGUAAACUGCUUUUGUACGGAACGAAAAGGUUUGGGCUAAUAAGCUGAGCUCAUGACGGUACCGUAAGAAUAAGCACCGGCUAACUACGUGCCAGCCGCCGCGGUAA